rnacentral:rRNA from 1 species
AAAUUGAAGAGUUUGAUCAUGGCUCAGAUUGAACGCUGGCGGCAGGCCUAACACAUGCAAGUCGAACGGUAACAGGAAGAAGCUUGCUUCUUUGCUGACGAGUGGCGGACGGGUGAGUAAUGUCUGGGAAACUGCCUGAUGGAGGGGGGAUAACUACUGGAAACGGUAGCUAAUACCGCAUAA